GGGGCGGGGCGUCGCGGGCACAGCGUGAGGGCCGCCGUUGCUGGAGUUCAGCUUAGGGAAGGAGGACUCUGAGGAGGCCCCGAGCGGCGGAGCGCUUCGGGGGAGGCGCCCGCGCAGACGCGAGGCCCAUAGCCAGGACCACCACCUAGCUGUUCUACAGUCUGGGGACGACGGUUUAAAAAUUUAUGCCUUGCAUGCGAUGUGCAGUGGGUGAUGGAAGAACGUCUACAUGGCUUUAAAAUUGGAUUUAAAAGGCAAAUAUUUUAAAUGAAGGAAAACCCAAGAAGUUUACUUGAUUCCUUAUCUUCCAGGAUGCGACUUUUGUUUAUUUAUUUAUUUUAUUUUGAUGGAGUCUCGCUGCCGUCGCGCAGGCUGGAGUGCAGUGACGCGAUCUUGACCCGGGAACCUCCACCUCCCGGGUUCAAGCGAUUCUCCUUCCUCAACCACCCGAGUAGCUGGGAUUACAGGCGUGUGCCACCAUGCCCGGCUAAUUUUUGUGUUUUUAGUAGAGACCGGGGAAGGUAUGGGCCCUCUUUUGAGAAAAAUGCAGAGUGACACUGAAUUUUGUAACUACAUCAGGAGGCUCUUGAACCUUCUGCAGCUCACUCGUGGAGUUUGUAGAGAUGCGUAAUAAUCCGAAGUGUUAAGGAAGAAGGUUCUGUUGAGAAAAAGUUGGAGGGCUGAAAGGGAUGCCUUUCGCUAUUUCGACAUGUGUGGCUGUACCCCAGAGUGCCCUGGCUAACACGCAAAACCAUGAAUUAGGCGGCUUGGCGAGGCUCAGUGGAGGCUGGGGCCGAGAGUCAUGUCAAAGUUUGUGGGGUUAACCUGCACCCAGUGACAGUCAUGGCGAAGUUUGUGAGGUUAACUCGCACCCAGUAACGCUGUUCCAAUGCAAGGUGUGUAUUUGGUGUCAUCCACGGGAAGAGGAAACAGCAAAUUUUCUCAUGGCCUUGGCAGUUCCACAUGAUGGACAUUUCAUAUCUGCAGUUUUCUUCGCAUGAGAUGGCUUUUUUGCACAAAAACACUGGAAUCCAGUGAGCAAGAAUGAUAGAAUGCAAGAUGGAUUUCCACAUGAGGAAGUGUCACGAACAAGCGUUUUGCAUCUCUGUCAGCUGGAUUCCCCCAUGUGUACGUAUGUGAGAACAUGCCGUGUUUCCUGUCUGUAAUGGUAGAGGCAGCCCUGAUACUGGAUUUUCACCUGAGGAUGGAUAGAUCUUCAGGGUUCAAGUGGGUUUGCAUCUGGACUUUAGGGUGGCCCUGUAGGCCCUGUGUGAGAAGCCCCCUUCCCAGUGAACUUUCCCUUGUGUGCCCGCGUGGACAGCCAACAGGGGGAGCAGUGCGAGCGUGAAGGCAGACAGUGGCCUGGCCCAGUCUGAUGGUAAGUGGGCCAGAGGCAGUGAGUACCAUUUCUUGAUCUGACUACUCAAGACAGGCGCUUCCCUAGGUACUUUCACACCUCAUUGCGAGGUACGUGUUGUUCCCAUUUUACAGGUGCAGAAGCUGAGCUGCAGAGGCGUUAGGUACCUGCCUCAUAAGUGGUAGAGACUCCAGUGUCACCCUGCCCCUCACGUUCGGAGCCCCCGAGGGAGGGUCUGCCGGGCAGCUCAGCCCAGCACUCUGUAAGGAAAUCUUCAGUGCCACUGCCCAGGAUGUCUUCCCGGGGAUUGGGCCUGAAUGUCUUGACCAUGCCGUGCUGGAGGGAGAGACCCACCGACCCUGUGGGGCUGGUCCCUACAUCUGGCGCUCUGACGUGGGGCUCUCCCUCGCUGUGUGAAGUUGCACCCUGAGUGCGGGAUCAGCGGAGGAGUUCAACGAGAGAUUCCUGAGGAUUGCAGUCUAUAAACUUGGUGGAAAAGAACUACAGCCUGUGUGGGUCCCCUCCCGACAAUUAAAAUUGCACCAUAACUCCAAAGAUGAAACGCUCCCAGAAAGAAAAGGCAAAGACCCAUCGGAAACAAAAGAGCAACUUUCACCGCCUGAUACAUACACUUCAUGACAUCCACAUUGAGACAAAAUCUCGCCGUGUGACCUACAACACCUCUCGUUCAACCCCACCUACUUGGGGUCGAAUACAGAUUUUAUCUCAUCAAACAGAAAAAUUCUUAACAGAAAAAGGAAUCCCAAAAAUGACUGGUAAUAUAAUUCUGGCUGCCUUUAUGGUAGUCAGUGCAGCGGUAAGUAUACCACCGGUCGGGGCAACUCAAAAUUAUACUUAUUGGGCAUAUGUUCCUUUUCCCCUUCUAAUUCGGUCUGUCUCCUGGAGGGACUCUCCAGUAGAAGUUUACACUAAUAAUAGUGCAUUCAUGCCGAUCCCUAAUGAUGAUCGGUUUCCAGCUCAACCGGAAGAAGAAGGUAUGCACUUUAAUCUGUCAAUUGGCUAUAAAUAUCCACCAUUAUGUAUUGGGAAGUCGCCUGGUUGUUUAGCUUAUUCUUAACAGAAUUGGAUGUGGACUGUACCGUCCUUUACAAAUGAUUCUUAUCAAGUAUAUAAUGUGUUCAGUACUAACUCUUUUCAACUUCUCACUGUCAAACGUACCCCACAUGAGGCAUGGAGAGUUCCUCUCACUACCAAAACUAAUAAAACAAAAGGACUGCCGGACUGUCCAAAGAAACCUACAAAUGGGCCUUUUAUAGUGACUUCAAUUUUAUGGGAUAAUUGUAAUGCUCCCAAGGCUGUUGUACUCCAAACUCUAGCCAUGGGUAUUGUUAUUGAUUGGGCUCCAAAAGGACAUUAUUGGCAAGAUUGCUCCAGCAAAAAUACCUUAUGCUCGGAGUUUAUUUAUUCCUUAGAUUAUAUAGAGCAUGGGUGGCAGUCUUACACGAUGAGACAACGGGUGUCUCCUUACCCAUUUAAAUGGAUGGACACAGGUAUUGCUCCUCCUAGACCAAAAAUUAUUCAUCCCUUUUUUACCCCAGAACAUCCUGAACUAUGGAAAUUAGCUGCAGCUUUGUCGGGAAUAAAGAUAUGGAACACUACCUAUCAGCUCCUUCGUACUAAAACCAAAACACCCACAUUCAACAUCACCCUUAUUUCUGAAUGGGUGAUACCCAUUAGGAGCUGUGUCAAACCCCCUUACAUGCUGUUGGUUGGAAAUAUAAUUAUGAUGCCUGAUGCACAAACUAUAGAAUGUCAUAACUGUAAGCUGUUCACUUGCAUUGAUGCAACUUUUAAUCCCACUACAAGUAUUCUCUUGGUAAGGGCUAGGGAGGGGGUAUGGAUACCAGUUUCUCUACAUCGUCCAUGGGAGUCUUCCCCCUCUAUUCACAUAGUCAAUGAAGUUCUUAAAGACAUCCUCAAAAGAACAAAGAGAUUUAUUUUUACUCUUAUUGCAGUCCUUGCAGGACUACUUGCGGUUACUGCAACAGCAGCAACUGCUGGAGUUGCCAUCCGCAGUUCUGUUCAAACUGCUCACUAUGUUGAAGCAUGCCAGAAAAAUUCCUCCAGACUUUGGAAUUCUCAGGCGCAAAUUGAUCAAAAAUUAGCUAAUCAGAUUAAUGAUCUCCGCCAAAGUGUAACCUGGCUGGGAGAUAGAGUUAUGAACUUGCAACACCGUAUGCAAUUACAGUGUGAUUGGAAUACUUCUGAUUAUUGCAUAACGCCUUAUGCUUAUAAUCAAGAUCAACAUAGCUGGGAAAAUGUCUCAAGACAUUUAAAAGCCUGGGAUGAUAACUUAACCUUGGAUAUUUCACAACUUAAAGAGCAAAUCUUUGAGGCUUCACAAGCCCAUUUAUCCACAGUUCCUGGCUCACACAUUUUUGAAGGCAUAACUAAACAAUUACCUGAUUUUAAUCCCUUCAAAUGGCUCAAACCCGUCAGAGGAUCAUUGUUGUUACUGGCAUUAUUAAUAUUGGUAUGCUUAUGUUGUCUCCUUUUAGUCUGCAGAUGCCUCUAAGGAGUCCGAAACCAAGUCCGAAGUCAACAACAAGCAAUGAUGGCGAUGGCGAUUCUAGUUAAUAAAAAGGGGGGAGAUGUGGGCGGCAAGCCACCCAGGCACCGAGGCAAGAGACAGAGGACACGAGCUGUUCCAGUAUAAUAAAAUAUAAAACAAGAAUAGUUAUACCAGAUAUAGAUCUUAGAUAUGAUUAUAUACGAAUAUCAUUAAUCAUGAGUUUGUAGCAAUUACUUUUUAUUCCAAUAUUAUGAUAAUCCUCGCUCUAUAAUCAUAGCCUAGGAAAAACCAGGCCAUACAGAGAUAGGAGCUGAGGGGACAUAGUGAAGUGUGACCAGAAGACAAGAGUGCGAGCCUUCUGUUAUGCCCGGACAGGGCCACCAGAGGGCUCCUUGGUCUAGCGGUGACGCCAGCGUCUGGGAAGACACCCGUUACCAGGCGGAUCGUGGCCCAGCCGUAGCAAAAGGUGUCAAGGAACACCUUUUGCAAAAGGUGUCAACACCCGCUACUUAGCAGACUGGGAAAGGGGGGCGGUCUCCCUUUCCCCGGGGGAGUUUAGAGAAGACUCUGUUCCUCCACCUCUUGUGGAGGGCCUGACAUCAGUCAGGCUUGCCCGUAGUUAUCCGGAGGCCUAACUGUCUCCCUGUGAUGCUGUGCUUCAGUGGUCACGCUCCUAGUCUGCCUUCAUUUUCCAUCCUGUACACCUGGCUCUGCCUUCUAGAUAGCAGUAGUAAAUUAGUGAAAAUACUAAUAGUCCCUGAUAUGCAGAAAUAAUGGCAUAAGCUGUCUUUCUCUCUGUCUCCUCUCCCUCUCUGCCUCGGCUGCCAGGCAGGGAAGGGCCCCCUGUCCAGUGGACACAUGACCCAUGUGACCUUACCUAUCAUUGGAGGUGACUCACAUUCUUUACCCUGCCCCUUCUGCCUUGUAUCCAAUAACAGCGCAGUCAGACAUUCAGGGCCACUACCGGUCUCCGCACAUUGGUGGUAGUGGUCCCCCGGGCCCAGCU
ensembl:lncRNA ERVK13-1 endogenous retrovirus group K13 member 1